UCGGGAAUUUUGGGCAAUGGGCGAAAGCCUGACCCAGCAACGCCGCGUGAAGGAUGAAGUAUUUCGGUAUGUAAACUUCGAAAGAAUAGGAAGAAUAAAUGACGGUACUAUUUAUAAGGUCCGGCUAACUACGUGCCAGCAGCCGCGGUAAUACGUAGGGACCAAGCGUUGUUCGGAUUUACUGGGUUUAAAGGUGCGUAGGUGGCCCUGUAAGUCAGUGGUGAAAUAUCUCAGCUUAACUGAGAGGGUGCCAUUGAUACUGCAGGGCUUGAGUACAGAUGAGGUAGGCGGAAUUGACGGUGUAGCGGUGAAAUGCAUAGAUAUCGUCAAGAACACCGAUAGCGAAGGCAGCUUACCAAGCUGUAACUGACACUGAGGCACGAAAGUGUGGGGAUCAAACAGGAUUAGAUACCCCCGUAGUCCCUGAGCGGGCUGGCAAGGCGCAU
rnacentral:rRNA from 1 species